GGGCCCGCACAAGCGGAGGAACAUGUGGUUUAAUUCGAUGAUACGCGAGGAACCUUACCCGGGCUCGAACGGUGCAUGAAUGAUUCAGAGAUGGAUUAGUCCUUCGGGACAUGUAUCGAGGUGCUGCAUGGUUGUCGUCAGCUCGUGCCGUGAGGUGUCGGCUUAAGUGCCAUAACGAGCGCAACCCUUGUCGUUAGUUGCCAUCAGGUAAUGCUGGGAACUCUAGCGAGACUGCCACCGUAAGGUGCGAGGAAGGGGGGGAUGACGUCAAAUCAGCACGGCCCUUACGUCCGGGGCGACACACGUGUUACAAUGGCAGGUACAGAGGGCAGCUACCCAGCGAUGGGGUGCGAAUCUCGAAAGCCUGUCUCAGUUCGGAUCGGAGUCUGCAACUCGACUCCGUGAAGUUGGAUUCGCUAGUAAUCGCGCAUCAGCCAUGGCGCGGUGAAUACGUUCCCGGGCCUU
rnacentral:rRNA from 1 species